rnacentral:rRNA from 1 species
GAGUAACACGUAUGCAAUCCACCUGUAACAGGGGGAUAACCCGGAGAAAUCCGGACUAAUACCCCAUAAUAUGGGCGCUCCGCAUGGAGGGCUCAUUAAAGAAAGCAAUUUUGGUUACAGACGAGCAUGCGCUCCAUUAGCCAGUUGGCGGGGUAACGGCCCACCAAAGCGACGAUGGAUAGGGGUUCUGAGAGGAAGGUCCCCCACAUUGGAACUGAGACACGGUCCAAACUCCUACGGGAGGCAGCAGUGAGGAAUAUUGGUCAAUGGUCGGCAGACUGAACCAGCCAAGUCGCGUGAGGGAAGACGGCCCUACGGGUUGUAAACCUCUUUUGUCGGAGAGUAAAGUGCGCUACGCGUAGCGUAUUGCAAGUAUCCGAAGAAAAAGCAUCGGCUAACUCCGUGCCAGCAGCCGCGGUAAUACGGAGGAUGCAAGCGUUAUCCGGAUUUAUUGGGUUUAAAGGGUGCGUAGGCGGCACGCCAAGUCAGCGGUGAAAUUUCCGGGCUCAACCCGGAAUGUGCCGUUGAAACUGGCGAGCUAGAGUACACAAGAGGCAGGCGGAAUGCGUGGUGUAGCGGUGAAAUGCAUAGAUAUCACGCAGAACCCCGAUUGCGAAGGCAGCCUGCUAGGGUGAAACAGACGCUGAGGCACGAAAGCGUGGGUAUCGAACAGGAUUAGAUACCCUGGUAGUCCACGCAGUAAACGAUGAAUACUAACUGUUUGCGAUACAAUGUAAGCGGUACAG